rnacentral:rRNA from 1 species
GGGGAAUUUUCCGCAAUGGGCGAAAGCCUGACGGAGCAACGCCGCGUGUGGGAUGAAGGCCUGUGGGUUGUAAACCACUUUUCUCAGGGACGAAGMUCUGACGGUACCUGAGGAAUCAGCCUCGGCUAACUCUGWGCCAGCAGCCGCGGUAAGACMGAGGWRSRAAGCGUUAUCCGGAAUUAUUGGGCGUAAAGCGUCCGUAGGUGGUUUGACAAGUCUGGGGUCAAAGCCCGGAGCCCAACUCCGGAUCGGCCUUGGAAACUGUCAGACUGGAGUAAGGUAGGGGUUGCGGGAAUUCCCGGUGUAGCGGUGAAAUGCGUAGAUAUCGGGAAGAACACCAGCGGCGAAAGCGCGCAACUGGGCCAUUACUGACACUGAGGGACGAAWGCYARGGAAGCGAAAGGGAUUAGAUACCCCAGUAGUC